rnacentral:lncRNA from 1 species
GGCUAUAUUAUCCGCAUUUUACAACAUUUCGCAACGAAACUUUGGAAUAUUACUAAUUUUGUGAUGCUCUUUCAUGCUAUGAUGGAAUUUUGUCUAGACUUGUUGAGAUCAAAAUUUUGGUUAAUUGGGGAAUGGUCCAUUACUAUAGUCUGUGUUUAUUUACACUACAAAGUCCAAAAUACUAGCUGUUCGUAUUUGCCAUACAAAUCCGUAAUUUUCCGCAAGCUUCCGUAAUUUUUGUCUCCACAAAGAUCCCUUUGUUUUUUUAAAAUAUUUUAACCGAGAGUUUUGGUUUGUGAGAAAGAAUCAAGAUGGUGUUCUUUAUAAUGUUUUGGAAAAGCCAUGUUCUUAUACGAUUUUGCAGUCGGGUUUGCUGCAGCCCGGUAAUGUUCCCGAUAUCGGACCACUAAUGGUCUACUUGUCUCGCUGUUAAAAGACCUUGAAAAGUGCUUGAAAAUCAGACAGUUCCCAUUAUAGACUAAUUUUAAAACUGAGAUGCAAAUAAAUCACCACAGUGUGCCCACAGCCAGAAAGAGCAUACUAAAAUUAGUAAAUUUGCAAAUUUUGGUUGCAAAAUAUUGUAAAAUGCGGAAAAUAUAGCCUCGCAAAUUUUGACAUUCCUACCACAUUUGGGCCGAAAAUGGUAGCCAUUUC